UUUCCCUCCGGGGCCUUAGCUUACUGCACGCCUUUGCCACCGCCGGCGCCCGGGCCUCCCCUUGAACCUGCUGCUGCCCUCUCUCUGGCCGAGUCCUGGGAGAACGCGCGGGAGCCGCUGGUCUGACCUUGAGUCCGACCGGCAGUCACUUUUCCCGGGAGGUGCGUUGCGGGUCAGCAGAGGCUCGCCAGGGCUGAGUGACGAGUGAGCCCCUCCGGAGCGCCCCCCGUGCGGCGGGGCGGGCCGGUCCUGCCCUGCUUUUGUGUUUUUUAACACCCUGUUGCAGCAGCGAAGGAAAGUGAGGCUAAGGGACUCGGUGGCCGCCUCUGGAAUCCGGGUGCUGGAGAGCUGCUCAUGGAUUUUCCAGACUGAAUGGUUUAAGGGUGUGCGGGGUACGUUUAUUCCGAUGCUUCUGGACGGCCGACGUUAUCUCCUCUGGAGAGAACCAGCCCGUCUUGGGGCUUCAGAGGCCCCGAUUGAGGCGCAGUGAUGAGAGGAUGUGGUGGUCCGCUCUGAUGUCAAUCUUGAGGGCUAGUGCCCAGAAGUGCAUCCUGGAUGAAUAUUUGUGAAAUGAGCAAGUAAAGGCAAAGGUAUGGAUGAAGUCACUCAGGCAAAAUGUAUAAGGGAAAGUUAUUGUGCUUACACAGAGAAAGUAUCUGCAAGGUGCACUUAGUAUGAAAACCUACAAUUUGUUGGACCCUAUAACCUACCAGCAAAGAGCCCCAUCUACCCCUUGCUUCACCUAUUUGCCUUGGAUGGAAAAGGCCCUGGGCCUGCAGCUACUUGGGAUCCCAGGUGCACAACAGUUCUACUUCAUUCCUUGAAUCAGGCCCAAACAAUCUCACUCUGUUGGAAAAACAGCAGAGACCUAGGUCUAAGUGGACCAA